rnacentral:lncRNA from 1 species
UAUCAAGAUGGGCUGCUGACUUGGGCUUAUAGCCGUUGCGUCCUGUUGGGCUGCCAGCCUGGGCUCCUGUGUUGUCGCUUGGGGUUUGACAAGAUAAAAAGAGGGCUUGGUCCCUUGGCUUAUUCAUUCGAGCAUCUCAUUCUCUUGCUGAUCAUUUCGCUGCUCUCUAGUUUGUUUCCCUAUUCUCACACGUACAUUCGUGAGUCUAGGGUUUGUCUAUUACUUGUACCGAUCAUCCUGUUGGAGAUCUUUUUGCUCUUUUGUUCGUUGUUAAUCUGUGAUGACAGAUUCGUUCAAUCAUUGUAUUUGAUGCUGAAUUUUUCAUAAUAAAACUGUUUGAUUCUUGAGUUCUGACAAUAUUACUUACGAACUUUUUUGCAUCUAAGUGUUUAUUCCUUUAUUAAAAUGAUCCUUAUGGAUCGGUAUAACUCUUAGGACUCAUUUGAUUCGUGAAAUACUUUAAUGGGAUUGAGUUUGAAUUGAAUCCUCUAAAGAUUCAGAAGGUGUUUAGUAUGUAUUUUUUUUUUUUGGGUAGGAACUAGGAUGUUUAAAAUGAAGAACUGCCUUUAUUAAUACAACCUCAUUCCUAGGUCAUUCGCUCACCUCUCAAUGAUAAUUUUUCUCCCUCCACCGGGUUUUUUUUUGGUUGGGGGGGGGGGGGGGGGGGGGGGGGGGGGCUUUAGGAGGUAUUGCUCGAGCUGGUUUGCUGCAUCAAUUUAAUUUUGGUUCUUCGCCAUCAUAGAGGUUAGGUUUGGCUAGAUAAAAAAUUGUAACCAAAUAGGUAGGGGUAGUAAUCUUCAAUCAAUGGGUAGGUGAGAGGGUGUUUGAUUUCUUGAAAAGUGGAACCAAAUACGAUGUUCGAUUGUGAUUUUUACUUUUACUUAUAUUGCCUUUUCGAUUAUUGUUGCAAGGUUUGUUUUAUGUUGCUUUGA